ACAUACAUCCAGCAAGCGGUAAGGCGUCGCACUUGUAAUGCGAAGAUCACUCGUUCGAUUCGGGUAGUGGGCA